rnacentral:rRNA from 1 species
UGGGGGAUAUUGCACAAUGGGCGAAAGCCUGAUGCAGCGACGCCGCGUGGGGGAUGAAGGCUUUCGGGUUGUAAACCUCUUUCGCUAUCGAACAAGGCCCGCUUAGGGUGGGUUGAGGGUAGGUGGAGAAGAAGCGCCGGCUAACUACGUGCCAGCAGCCGCGGUAAUACGUAGGGCGCGAGCGUUGUCCGGAAUUAUUGGGCGUACAGGGCUUGUAGGCGGCUUGUUGCGCCUGCUGUGAAAACGCGGGGCUUAACUUCGGGCGUGCAGUGGGUACGGGCAGGCUUGAGUGUGGUAGGGGUGACUGGAAUUCCAGGUGUAGCGGUGGAAUGCGCAGAUAUCUGGAGGAACACCGAUGGCGAAGGCAGGUCACUGGGCCAUUACUGACGCUGAGGAGCGAAAGCAUGGGUAGCGAACAGG